AAAAGAAACUAACAAGGAUUCCCCUAGUAACGGCGAGUGAAGCGGGAAGAGCUCAAAUUUGAAAUCUGGUAGCCUUCGGUUGCCCGAGUUGUAAUCUAGAGAAGUGUUUUCCGUGCCGGCCCAUGUACAAGUCCCUUGGAACAGGGCGUCAUAGAGGGUGAGAAUCCCGUCCUUGACAUGGACCCCCGGUGCUUUGUGAUACACUUUCAACGAGUCGAGUUGUUUGGGAAUGCAGCUCAAAAUGGGUGGUGAAUUCCAUCUAAAGCUAAAUAUUGGCGAGAGACCGAUAGCGAACAAGUACCGUGAGGGAAAGAUGAAAAGCACUUUGGAAAGAGAGUUAAACAGUACGUGAAAUUGUUGAAAGGGAAACGAUUGAAGUCAGUCAUGCUCUUAGGAUUCAGCCGUUCUGCGGUGUAUUUCCUUUGAGUGGGGUCAACAUCAGUUUUGAUCGAUGGAUAAAGGCACGAGGAAGGUAGCACUCUCGGGUGAACUUAUAGCCUCGCGUCAUAUACAUUGAUUGGGACUGAGGAACGCAGCAUGCCUUUAUGGCCGGGAUUCGUCCACGUACAUGCUUAGGAUGUUGACAUAAUGGCUUUAAACGACCCGUCUGA
rnacentral:rRNA from 1 species